AAUGAACGCUGGCGGCAGGCCUAACACAUGCAAGUCGAACGGGCACUUCGGUGCUAGUGGCGGACGGGUGAGUAACGCGUGGGAACGUGCCCCUUGGUACGGAAUAGCCCCGGGAAACUGGGAGUAAUACCGUACGUGGUCGAGAGACGAAAGAUUUAUCGCCAAGGGAUCGGCCCGCGUUGGAUUAGGUAGUUGGUGGGGUAAUGGCCUACCAAGCCGACGAUCCAUAGCUGGUUUGAGAGGAUGAUCAGCCACACUGGGACUGAGACACGGCCCAGACUCCUACGGGAGGCAGCAGUGGGGAAUCUUAGACAAUGGGGGAAACCCUGAUCUAGCCAUGCCGCGUGAUCGAUGAAGGCCUUAGGGUUGUAAAGAUCUUUCAGGUGGGAAGAUAAUGACUGUACCACCAGAAGAAGCCCCGGCUAACUCCGUGCCAGCCGCCGCGGUAA
rnacentral:rRNA from 1 species